CCUACGGGAGGCUGCAGUGGGGAAUAUUGGACAAUGGGGGCAACCCUGAUCCAGCCAUGCCGCGUGAGUGACGAAGGCCUUAGGGUUGUAAAGCUCUUUCACCGGUGACGAUAGUGACGGUAGCCGGAGAAGAAGCCCCGGCUAACUCCGUGCCAGCAGCCGCGGUAAGACGGAGGGGGCUAGCGUUGUUCGGAAUCACUGGGCGUAAAGCGCGCGUAGGCGGCUUGUCAAGUUGGGCGUGAAAUCCCGGGGCUCAACCCCGGAAUUGCGCCCAAGACUGACAGGCUUGAGACCGAGAGAGGGUGGUGGAAUUCCCAGUGUAGAGGUGAAAUUCGUAGAUAUUGGGAAGAACACCAGUGGCGAAGGCGGCCACCUGGCUCGGAUCUGACGCUGAGGCGCGAAAGCGUGGGGAGCAAACAGGAUUAGAUACCCUAGUAGUC
rnacentral:rRNA from 1 species